rnacentral:rRNA from 1 species
CUACGGGGUGCUGCAGUUAGGAAUAAUCUGCAAUGCGCGAAAGCGUGACAGUUUGAGCCAGAGUGCUUUCUUAUAGAAAGCUUUUGCUAAAUGUAAAAAGUUUGGCGAAUAAGGACUGGGUAAGACUAGUGCCAGCCGCCGCGGUAAUACUAGCGGUCCAAGUCGCAGCCAUCUUUAUUAGGUCUAAAACAUCCGUAGCUUGCUCAAUAAGUUUUUUGUGAAAUUUUAUGUCUUAAACAUAAAGCGAGCAAAAAGUACUGUUGAGCUAGAGACUGGGAGACGUAAAGAGUAUGUUUGAGGUAGCGGUAAAAUGUUUUAAUCUUAGACAGACUAACAAUAGCGAAGGCACUUUACGAGAACAGAUCUGACAGUAAGGGAUGAAGGCUAGGGGCGCAAAACGGAUUAGAUACCCUCGUAGUC